UGGGGAAUAUUGCACAAUGGGCGCAAGCCUGAUGCAGCCAUGCCGCGUGUGUGAAGAAGGCCUUCGGGUUGUAAAGCACUUUCAGCGGGGAGGAAGGCGGUGAGGUUAAUAACCUCAUCGAUUGACGUUACCCGCAGAAGAAGCACCGGCUAACUCCGUGCCAGCAGCCGCAGUAAUACGGAGGGUGCAAGCGUUAAUCGGAAUUACUGGGCGUAAAGCGCACGCAGGCGGUCUGUCAAGUCGGAUGUGAAAUCCCCGGGCUCAACCUGGGAACUGCAUUCGAAACUGGCAGGCUAGAGUCUUGUAGAGGGGGGUAGAAUUCCAGGUGUAGCGGUGAAAUGCGUAGAGAUCUGGAGGAAUACCGGUGGCGAAGGCGGCCCCCUGGACAAAGACUGACGCUCAGGUGCGAAAGCGUGGGGAGCAAACAGG
rnacentral:rRNA from 1 species